rnacentral:tRNA from 1 species
GGGUGACUAGCUCAAUGGCAGAGCAGAAGACUCUUAAUCUUUUGGUUCGGGGUUCGACUCCCCGGUCACCCA